rnacentral:sRNA from 1 species
GCUUAGGCGUUAACGAUAGGAACGGCAUCCUUUUUUUGUUCUAAUCUUUUUUGCAGGUUACAAAAAAAGAUAUAGUGAAUAGCGUGUAUAAAC